rnacentral:lncRNA from 1 species
GGGCUAACCAACAUCCGGUGGAUAAAAAUUAAACAACCCAUGUCCGUAUAACUAACUUAUCAAUAACUAGUUACUACUGUACUCACAUACAUAAUACGCGUAUACACAGACUGUAACUACCACGAAAUAGCUGUUGGUAGGUACCCUUGCGCGGGUAUUACCGGCAUUGGGGGGGGGGUGCCAACACUUACUACAUACGUAUUUCAUCCCACCGUAUAUAGCUAGCUAUACGCCCCUUGUUGUUCCAAGCUUGGUGCCUGACUCGAUUCCCAAGUGAGAUGGAGCUCUCAUAGGGAGACCUUCGGGUCUAGACUUUAUGUACAUAGAUAUUUCACACAAACACGUGGGUUUCUAGAAAUAUUGACGAAUAAAGUAAUGAGCGGGGAAAUAGACUGCAUUCUUUUUUAACUGCAUGCUUGACCGAAGAGGGUUUUUUUGUCCUUGGCUUGCCUUGAAAGUGAUACAUGUACAUGUCGGAUCUAGCUCGGACAAAGCCCUGUUACUACAGAGUAGAGGGCAACCAACUGGAUAAAAGUUGACGAGACUGCGCUUAUGUAGGUAUUGUGAUAGGUUCUUGGCGUAUACGUAGUUGCCUAGAACAUCGAAGCUUAAGAUGCAUAGUCCUCGUGGGUGGUAAAUUAGGCUUAUUACCACUCUGAACCCUGAUAAAUCAAGAAUGUACCCUAUGUAGUAUACCUAGGUUUCACUUCUUCCUGAUUAUGAAAAUGGCCAGAUGUCCAAGCCCAAAACGAAUAAAACCGCGACAACCCCAAGGGGCAACAAAAAAAAAUGACCAAUCUACUCCCCAGUGAAGGAAGGACAGCGAACAAAGUCAAAGCUCAUUCCACCUACUUUGUCUACCUACGGAGAUUCGAUACAUAAUCUGGGAAUUCGCCAUUGGCUAUAUCCCAUCCGGUUUCACCGAACGAAGUGGCUUGUAAAGAAGCAAAAAAUCCGUUAUGGUCACGAGGAAGCAAAUUCCUCAAACAGCAAUGGCUUCAGGACUAUCCGAGCUCAGGAGGGCAUGGGGGGGUGGACAAGUGGACAACAACAGGCCACGGCAGAUGUCUAUCCCCCCUGUGCGGCGCCGAUGAUUGUAUUCCCGGUGCCGCAGAUGUCUUCCCCGCGGUCACAAACAAAAUCUGACGCUACAAGUGUAGUAUUUCAAAAUGUACUACGAGUAAUCAGGGACAGGGGGAGUGGCCGGCCCGACAAUAGACCAUUUUCUAAAACGGGAAGCAAUGGGAACUUGAAAGUUUGGGACAAUUGAUAUCGCCCCAAAAAAAAAAAAAAAAAAUACAUGUCCGCCUUACUGUAGUAAGUGAUUCCGAGUAAUGAUUCCGAGCAGUGAUUCCGAAUGCAUUGAUGGAUUUUUGUGGCGUUCGAAC